rnacentral:misc_RNA from 1 species
UCCGGUUUAUCACCGGCAGUCCCUUUAGAGUGCCCAACUGAAUGCUGGCAACUAAAGGCGAGGGUUGCGCUCGUUGCGGGACUUAACCCAACAUCUCACGACACGAGCUGACGACAACCAUGCACCACCUGUCACUCCGUCCCCCGAAGGGGAACGUCCUAUCUCUAGGAUUGUCAGAGGAUGUCAAGACCUGGUAAGGUUCUUCGCGUUGCUUCGAAUUAAACCACAUGCUCCACCGCUUGUGCGGGUCCCCGUCAAUUCCUUUAAGUUUCAGCCUUGCGGCCGUACUCCCCAGGCGGCGAACUUAAUGCGUUAGCUUCGGCACGGAGGCCAUGACAGCCCCCACACCUAGUUCGCACCGUUUACGGCUAGGACUAC